UAUAAAUCGUCGAGCACUUUGAAUGUUCAUAAGGGUUACUGCUGAUUCGAUUUCUGGAUCAGCAAUGACCACCAAUAUGUAUGUGUCCUCAGUAUAUGGAACAAUGAAUGCAGAGAAAUUACCACCACGAAGCUCAAAAGUAGUAAAUUGAGCUUGCAUUUUGCUACAACUGAGUUUAAAUUGCUUAACAAUAUUGCUAAUUUUUUCGAACCUGUGAGCAUCAGUGGCAGGAUUGGACUCAGAAGAAUAAGAAGAAAUAACCAAAAAUGUUGUUCUUUC